rnacentral:lncRNA from 1 species
GAAAACCCUAAUCCACCAAAAUGAAUGAUUGAUUUUGAUGAUGACUUGAUCAAAUUUUUUAUUCAAUUUUGGUGUGACUUCAUUUGUCCCCUUUUAUCUUCAUCCCUUUUGUUUCUUUUAUUCAUUUGGAUGGAUUUGUGUCUAUCUUGUUCAUGAUGUGUGGAUUGGUGCUUGAUGAACUUUCAUCAUUUCAAAUCUACCUUCUAAGUGAUCAUGGAUCAUUUAAGGUUCUUUGGAUUGAUGCAUAAGUUUGUCCUAAGUGUCAUGAAAUGUGGAUUGAAG